rnacentral:rRNA from 1 species
ACUACGGGUGGCAGCAGUGGGGGAUAUUGCACAAUGGGGGAAACCCUGAUGCAGCGACGCCGCGUGGGCGAAGAAGUAUUUCGGUACGUAAAGCCCUAUCAGCAGGGAAGAAGAAAUGACUGUAUCAGAGUAAGAAGCACCGGCUAAAUACGUGCCAGCAGCCGCGGUAAUACGUAUGGUGCAAGCGUUAUCCGGAUUUACUGGGUGUAAAGGGAGCGCAGGCGGCACGGCAAGCCUGAGGGGAAACCCCGCGGCGAAACCGCGGGACUGCAUUGGGAACUACCGGGCUGGAGUGCCGGAGGGGUAGGCGGAAUUCCGAGUGUAGCGGUGAAAUGCGGAGAUAUUAGGAGGAACACCAGUGGCGAAGGCGGCCUACUGGACGGUGACUGACGCUGAGGCUCGAAAGCGUGGGGAGCAAACAGGAUUAGAUACCCGUGUAGUC